GGAUUGUGGCUCAGUGGUAGAGCGCUCACCUACUGUGCAAGGCCCUGGGUUCGAUCCUCAGCACCA
rnacentral:tRNA from 1 species